UGGUUUUCUGCUUCAACGGUGCUUGAAUGGAACCG
rfam:Tupaia chinensis contig83920, whole genome shotgun sequence.